CAGGAUGAACGCUAGCGACAGGCUUAACACAUGCAAGUCGAGGGGCAGCAUAGAAGUAGCAAUACUUGGUGGCGACCGGCGCACGGGUGAGUAACGCGUAUGCAACCUACCUAUCAGAGGGGAAUAACCCGGCGAAAGUCGGACUAAUACCGCAUAAAACAGGGGCACCGCAUGGUGAUAUUUGUUAAAGAAAUUCGCUGAUAGAUGGGCAUGCGUUCCAUUAGGUAGUUGGUGAGGUAACGGCUCACCAAGCCGACGAUGGAUAGGGGAACUGAGAGGUUGGUCCCCCACACUGGUACUGAGACACGGACCAGACUCCUACGGGAGGCAGCAGUGAGGAAUAUUGGUCAAUGGGCGGGAGCCUGAACCAGCCAAGUCGCGUGGAAAAGGAAGAAGGAUCUAUGGUUCGUAAACUUCUUUUGCAGGGGAAUAAAGUGCAGGACGUGUCCUGUUUUGUAUGUACCCUGAGAAUAAGGAUCGGCUAACUCCGUGCCAGCAGCAGC
rnacentral:rRNA from 1 species